CAGCAGCCGCGGUAAUACCGGCGGCCCGAGUGGCGGUCACUAUUAUUGGGCUUAAAGCGUCCGUAGCCGGGUUGGGAAGUCCUCCGGGAAAUCUGGCCGCUUAACGGUCAGAAUGCCGGAGGAUACUCCCAGCCUAGGGAGCGGGAGAGGCCGAGGGGAUUCCCGGGGUAGGGGGGAAAUCCUAUAAUCCCAGGACGACCACCUGUGGCGAAGGCGCUCGGCUGGAACGCGUCCGACGGUGAGGGACGAAGGCCAGGGGAGCAAACCGGAUUAGAUACCCGGGUAGUCCUGGCUGUAAACGAUGCGGACUUUGUGUCGGACAAGCUAUGAGCUUGUCCGGUGCCGGAGGGAAACCGUUAAGUCCGCCGCCUGGGGAGUACGGCCGCAAGGCUGAAACUUAAAGGAAUUGGCGGG
rnacentral:rRNA from 1 species